AAAAUCAGUACUUUAAACGUUCUUUAAGAGCAUUUUAUUUUCACUUAUAAGAAUCUUGUAGCAUGCUACAAAGUUGAAUUUGGGCGCAGUUAUACGAGCAUUUAGUUCUAUAACUAUCUUAUAAUCAUCUUAUACAAUGUUAUUAAGCCUUAUAAUAUACUUGACGAAGCUCAAUAGCGCCUUUAAUGAUAUGAGACUAAACAAUUACAAGUGCAAACACUCUUGUUAGUAUCUGACGUAAGUAUUUUAUUAGAGCAAUCUUGUUUAUAAAGCACUUGUAAUGGUCUUAGAAAAUAGUUUUAAGUAUAUUUUAAUACAAGUUAUUUUCGUUGUUGCUUUGACUGGUCGUGCCGGAUUUUUUGUGUUACCACGCACGUAAAAACCUGCAGUACGGGCGCCAGAGGUGCGGGGGGCGGUUGCAUGUCGAACCAGUAGCUGUCUAGCAGUAGUAGCACCUGAGUUGUCAGGAAGAGCGCGUGUGCUUAAUGUGAGUAAGGUGUAUCGCCAGAGAUUUACGUAUUUUUACUAUAUUUGAAGUAACUUUCCUAGAGUAUAGUAGCUACUAGUAUUUCCUAGAGACGGACCUGAUCACGCGUUGUGUUGAAACUCUCUACGAGGCAAGGUCAACGUGUUUCCACAAACUUGUGGGUGAUUAUAUUAUUCUUUUUUUUCUAGUCAAACAUUAUUUUGUUUACAGGUUCAAAAUGCCAUUUAAAAUUGUUCAGACCAUUGAAAAGGGUAACAUUGUAUUGACAUGUGUACCACAUCAAUGGGAGAGCGAUGGAGUUUUGUAUUGGCCCAGAAAACAAACCCAGUCACAGACGAGUAAGUUACAAAAGGAUGAAGGUAGUUGGCCCGAUGAAUCUUGGGAAAAAAUAAACUGUGCGGUAAAAAGGCGGAGCAUAAAAACGUAUCAAAAUGCAAUACAUGAAAUUGAUAUAAUGAGCAAUAAUUCAGACACAGAACCUGACAUAGAAUACGUCUCAUCAAAAAAACAGCGCAAUUGCUCUGAUCUUCCACAGCUGUCAUAUGAUAAUAUGGCAGAAGAAAUUUUAAAGAAUAAUGAGCAUAAUGCUUCUUCAGCAAUAAUACCUGAAGAUGGAGAACAAAUAAUGGUGACUAAUUACGAAAUCACGACACCGAAAGAGUCAACUCCAUCUGAAACACCGUUGAGCGCGCCGCAAGAAAAUAUUGAAAAAUACAUUGUUAUUCCUGAAAGUAAUCAGUCGGACACACCUAUAAUAUACUCGUACAUUAAUAAAGAAACAAGUUUAUCAGAAGAACAAUGCGAAUUAAAAUCCAUGAAAAUAGAUAUCACCACUAUUAAAAGUGACCUAAAAUCCAUAAAUGACGAUAUGAAGACUAUAAUGGGGACCCUGAACACAACACUAAAUAAUCAAGCCGUAUUACACGAAACACUGAAAUCGAUUUUAUUACAAGUGACUGAAAUACAAGUUACGAACGAAGAAUUCAUUAAAAAAUCUAUUACAGAAAAACAAAACCAUUCGUUGAUGUUAAAACCAAUACAAGAUUUAAAAGAUUUAGAAGAGUUUGAAAAUAAAUUGAUGGAUUCUGAUUAUAGAGAAGAUUUACUAAGAAAGUUUAGUGUGUUUGGCACUAAAGGGACAGGGAAGGGAAUCACAAGAGCAUAUACAAUUAUUGAUAUUUUGUUUGAAAGAAAGUUUUUCAAAUCGUGUUCGUGGACUGGAGCUUCACGUUCCCAAAAUGAAACAACA